UACGAAGGGUGCAAGCGUUAAUCGGAAUUACUGGGCGUAAAGCGCGCGUAGGUGGUUUGUUAAGCUAGAUGUGAAAGCCCAGGGCUCAACCUGGGAAUGGCAUUUGAGACUGGCAGGCUAGAGUGUGGUAGAGGUGAGUGGAAUUUCAGGUGUAGCGGUGAAAUGCGUAGAGAUCUGAAGGAACAUCAGUGGCGAAGGCGACUCACUGGGCCAUUACUGACGCUGAGGUGCGAAAGCGUGGGUAGCAAACAGG
rnacentral:misc_RNA from 1 species